rnacentral:rRNA from 1 species
UACAGAGGUGCCGAGCGUUAGGCGGAAUCACUGGGCUUAAAGCGUGUGUAGGCGGAUGCCUAAGUACCUUGUGAAAUCCCACGGCUUAACCGUGGAACUGCUCGGUAUACUGGGUGUCUUGAGCCACUUAGGGGCUACCGGAACAAAUGGUGGAGCGGUGAAAUGCGUAGAUAUCAUUUGGAACGCCAAUGGUGAAAACAGGUAGCUGGGAGUGUGCUGACACUGAGACACGAAAGCCAGGGGAGCAAACGGG